CUCGCUUCCGCUCCCGCUCGCGGUGACGGACGGAGUUAUGAGGAACAGCGUCAUCGGCUGAGGCAUAACCGGCGGUGAGAACUUCCUUUUUGAUGUUGUUGGUGUUGUUAUUGUUGUUACCGUCUUGCGGAUGCUCGUACUGUGAGAGGUUGUUCAUGCUGACGCUCUUCCUCAUGGAAUCGACGACGACUCGAACCCCGAACAGCAUGAUCUCGCCAGAGGCAACGGAGUCUGUAGCGGCGCAGG
rnacentral:lncRNA from 1 species